rnacentral:lncRNA from 1 species
AAGUUUGAGAUUCAUUUUGAGUUAAUUUUUGUAUAUUAUUAAGGUAAAGGUCAAGGUUCAUUUUUUAAAGAAUAUGUAGCUAGUCAGUUUUUCCGGCAUCAUUUGUUAUAAAAAUUAUGCAUUUGCACCAUUUUUGAAAACCAAAGGUCAUAUGUCCUGGACUCUUUGUGAUUAUCUCUGUAGAUGAUUGGGUUGUCGACAACACAGGGACAUUUUCUUCUUCAUUUACAAUUGCAAGCUUUUGUUUCUUUGUCUCCCCGGAUUAAGCUGGCUAGGGCUUCCAGUUCAAAGAUGAAUAGAAAUGACAAGACUGAACAUUUUCCCCUUAUUCUCAAAUUAAGGGGGAAACAUUCAUUUCGUCAUCACCUGGAGGGGUUUGUUGCCACAGAAAGACUUGAAGGAUGUUUAGAGCAAGACUUUUUUUUUUUUUUUUUUUUUGGUCUCUUUGUCUUUUUAGGUCUGCACCUGCGGCACAUGGAGGUUCCCAGGCUAGGGAUCAAAUCGGAGCUGAGCUGCCGGCCUACACUGCAGCCAUAAGCAUGGAGGAUCUGAGCUGCGUCUUUGACCUUUAUUUACAAGCUCACGGCAACGCCGGAUCCUUAAUGCCNAGUGAGGCCAGGGAUCGAACCCACAACCUCAUGGUUCCUAGUUGGAGUCGUUAACCACUGUGCCAGGACGGGAACUCCGAGGGCAAGAUGUUUUUGAGGACAUCCAAACUAGCCUAUACGGAGAGAGGACACAGGACAAAAGUCUAUCUGUCAUUUAUAAGAAGAAAUCCUCUGACACUCCUGCAUGUCCCUCUCGCCAGCAGCUGUAUGACCGUCUUGUUCCCGCUCCCUUGCUCAGCUAAGAUGCACCCAGAAGCCAGUUUAUUAUCCCAAGGUCCCCAGGUAAUACAGUGAUGGAAGGAGCAGCAGAUCUCAGACCUAGAGGUUCAGGCUCUUACACUUUGAGGCUGGAUUGGGCCAUUCUAACAGCCUGUGUGGGAGCGUCUCCUCCAGUCCUGGUCCCGGAGACCCCUAGGACACUUCGCCUCUGUCACCCCUGCUCUCCCGCGAGGCUCAUAUCUGGGUACUGGUACCCCUUCCUGCCAUUGCGGUGAAAGGUGGCGUCAGGACUCAAACAGCUUUUCCCAACCAUGCUCCAGCCAUGGAUUCCCAUUUAGAAAACUCAGAAAUAGGUCCUGAGGCUAAAGUCAUUGUCCAAGAGGGUUUUUAUUUAAUUUUCUUGUUAUUUAUUUAUUUUGAUAGCUUGUCAGCCAAGGC